GGUCUUUUAAUUUGGCUGGGGAUAAGAAAGAAUCUAGGUCCUCAGGUUAGGACAAAGCUGGAGGCUAAAAACAACAGAGCUUUCUCUCAGGAGCCUCCUGACAUCCUAGGGUUUGUGUGUUUUGCUUUAGGGGAAGACACCUGUCCCACCUCCUUUCUGUCUUUCUCUCCAUGAUAACAGCUGUGGCUUGGAAGCCAACAGCAAGCCCUGUGGAUGCAGCCAGUGUCCUCCAGCUUCUCAUGAUGACCUCUGCCCUCAGUCUGGACAAUUAAAAGCAGAGAUCGCCAAGGUCAAAGUGCUCCUGGGCUCUCUGCUCUCUCCCGGACCAGCGCCCACUUUGAGCAGGGGAUAUACCCAGAGGAACUUUCUGAAGAAUCUGGAAGAGAUUGUAUUUCCAUGUUCACAGCAGAAUUAUUCACUGGAAGCAGCUCCCAGGUGUCCACGAUAGACGAAUAGAUAAAGAAAAUUCGUCAAAAUGACAUAUUGUGCAGCCCUAAACAGGAAGCAAAUUCUGACAUAUACUACAGCAUGGCUGAACCUCAAGGACAUUAUGUUAAGUGAAAUAAACCAGUCACAAAAAGACAAAUAUCAUUCCACUUAAAUGAGGUGUCAGUAAAAAUCACAGAGACAGAAAGUAGAAUGCUUUGUUCUUAGUUUCAUGUCUUCAAAUACUUAAAACCUUGGCUCGGCCAUAAUCCCUUGUCCCUCUCACCUUAUCGGUUUGAUUAUCAGUUUUCUUCGCUGCUCUAGAUAGUCCCCAUCUGUGCAUCACACAAACAGCUUUAAGGCUGCUGUUCUAAAGAUAAGCAAGGUACUCCCCAGAGCCCACAAUCCCUCCUGGCCUGCACUAGAUGUUUUUUUUCUUUUGCUGUUUGCCAUCCUUGAAAAAUUCUUCCAGAGUUGUCAAUACCUUCCAGAGCUGUCUCCACCUUCUUGCAUCCCCUCCCACCCAAUCCAAUGGUCUUCUUUUUCACCAUCCUUUUCUUCUUUUUUAUUUAUUUAUUUUCGCUUUUUGAGUCAGGGUCUCUCUAUGGAGUAUGUACUCCAGGCUGGCCUGGAACCUGUGGUGAUCCUCCUUGCCUCAACCUCCCGAGUGUUGGGAUUACAGGUGUGUGCCACCACACCCAGCUUUUUCUUUCUUUUUUUUUUUUUUUUUUGGUACCGGGGAUCCAACUCAGGACCUUGUGCUUGUGCAGCAGGCACUGGACACUACUGAGCUAAAUCCCUGGCCCCUCUUUAUUUUUCUUUUAAUCUCUUCUUUUUUUUUUUUUUUGGAACCAGGUAUCAAACUCGGGUCUUUGCACUUUCAUAGCAGGUGGCGAAACCACUGAGCUAAAUCCCUGGCCCUUAAUCUCUGUUUUGGAGGAGGUGACAUUCUGUUUUCCACAGUGGCUACACCACUUCCCAUUCCCACCAACAGUGCACAGGGUCCAAUUCCUCUACAUCCUUGUGACACUUGGUAUUUUCUGUCCCCCACCCCAUAGUAGCUAUGAUAUCCUAAUAAGUGUGAGGUGGUAUCACAGUAUGAAAUUUUUAUAAAAACCAAACUCCAAGCCCUUAACAAAUUCUGGGUCUAGUUGAUGACACGUGAGCAGAUGUGUUAGGGGUGAAGUGUUCUGAUAUUUGCAGUUUGCUUUGAAAUGCAUUGGGAGGGUGGACUGGGAAUGAAUGGAGAGACGUGUGACAAGAUGACGAGCCACUGUACAGAGGUGUUGACAGUUGUGGUAUUAGGUGCUGGGUGUAUACAUGUUUUGAAGUUUUAUGUAUAUUUGAGAACUUUCAUAAUAAAUCUUUUUGGGGCACUUUCUGUGUCUUAGAGAAGUUUUGCUGUGAAGGGCUGAGACCCCUCUAGUGAAUGUGGAUCCAACAGGCUGAAAGACCUGAGCAGCAAUAGAGGCCUGAAGGGGAGCAGAAUAGAAACUACUGACCAGGACUCAGGACCCUGGAGGUGCAUGUGUCAGGGUGGGAGAGGGGAAAACAGAGGAUCAGGGACCCUGAGAGCAGUGUGAGGAAUGGGUGUCCCCACCCUGAAUGUCCAUCUGGGACAGGCUGUUUCCACAAGGGGAUUGCAGAG
ensembl:lncRNA